GACGAACGCUGGCGGCGUGCUUAACACAUGCAAGUCGAACGCUGAAGCUUGGUGCUUGCGCUGGGUGGAUGAGUGGCGAACGGGUGAGUAAUACGUGAGUAACCUGCCCUUGGCUCUGGGAUAAGCCUGGGAAACUGGGUCUAAUACUGGAUACGACAUGUCACCGCAUGGUGGUGUGUGGAAAGGGUUUUACUGGUUUUGGAUGGGCUCACGGCCUAUCAGCUUGUUGGUGGGGUAAUGGCUCACCAAGGCGACGACGGGUAGCCGGCCUGAGAUGGUGGCCGGCCACACUGGGACUGAGACACGGCCCAGACUCCUACGGGAGGCAGCAGUGGGGAAUAUUGCACAAUGGGCGGAAGCCUGAUGCAGCGACGCCGCGUGAGGGAUGACGGCCUUCGGGUUGUAAACCUCUUUCAGCACGGAAGAAGCGAAAGUGACGGUACGUGCAGAAGAAGCGCCGGCUAACUACGUG
rnacentral:rRNA from 1 species